GCAAACUUGGUCAUUUAGAGGAAGUAAAAGUCGUAACAAGGUCUCCGUUGGUGAACCAGCGGAGGGAUCAUUAAAGAGUUUCUAAGCUCUAAACCCAACCGUGGACCGCGAAAACGUUGCCUCGGCGGGCUUGCCCGCCGGUGGCCCCAACCCAAAACGCUUUGCAACGUUUGUCUGAGUGGCGCAAGUCUUAUUGCAAAAUAAGUCAAAACUUUCAGCAACGGAUCUCUUGGUUCUGGCAUCGAUGAAGAACGCAGC
rnacentral:misc_RNA from 1 species